rnacentral:rRNA from 1 species
GACGAACGCUGGCGGCGUGCUUAACACAUGCAAGUCGAACGGUAAGGCCCCUUCGGGGGUACACGAGUGGCGAACGGGUGAGUAACACGUGGGUAAUCUGCCCUGCACUUCGGGAUAAGCCUGGGAAACCGGGUCUAAUACCGGAUAUGAACUCCUGCCGCAUGGUGGGGGUUGGAAAGUUUUUCGGUGCAGGAUGAGCCCGCGGCCUAUCAGCUUGUUGGUGGGGUAAUGGCCUACCAAGGCGACGACGGGUAGCCGGCCUGAGAGGGUGAUCGGCCACACUGGGACUGAGACACGGCCCAGACUCCUAUGGGAGGCAGCAGUGGGGAAUAUUGCACAAUGGGCGAAAGCCUGAUGCAGCGACGCCGCGUGGGGGAUGACGGUCUUCGGAUUGUAAACCCCUUUCAGUAGGGACGAAGCGCAAGUGACGUACCUGCAGAAGAGCCC